GCCAAAGAUUGUCUAGGUAGCCUAUCACACCGCCUCAUAGAGCGAUGCGCUCUAGAAUCUUUGAUUAUCAUCUCUUAUUAUUCUGUCACAAUCAUGUCACAACAGCCUAGUAGAAGUAUCAAUCAAAGUAACCAUGGAAAAGACCUUAAACAUUCCAAAUUCAUGUUGUUUGCUGCAGACUAGUGUUUUAGGCCUACAGUUAUUUGCCAGUGCCAGCAAAGCUGCUUUUCAUUGCCUUUUCUCUGAUCAUUAUUAUAUCCUUAUAUUAAUUGCAGACAGAUUGAGAUUUGUGGUAAUAACUGAGAUUAUAAUAAUAGGCUAUUCUUUUAUUAUUAUGGGUCAAGCUCAAAGUGAUCCAACAGUUUCCACAACCCCUACAAAUAUAGCCAAGACUGAGUGUGGAGGAGGAAAGAAGUCCAGUGUGGCCCAGCGGUUUCUGGGCCUGGUGUCUCUAAUAUCCUCCAUACGAAGCAGAAAGAACCGUGUUGUUCCAUUCACUCCGUCUCAGGACACCUUGAGUGGUGAUGGAAGCAUCCACAAUGGACCCUAUGGCGUGAGUAGGAAGAGCCGACUGUCCACUUGGUCCAUGUCUGAAUACUCACUGAACUCUGAGCUGAAUCGGUGCCUUGACUCGGACAGCUGGGAAACGAUAUCAACCAUAGCCAUGAGCCCUAUCAAAUCAGUGAACAGUUACAGAGCAAACACAACGUCCCCGACCCUCCUGAUGCAGCCUCCCCAGAACAUGGAUCUCUCUGAAAUGUCUUGGCUGAACUCAGACAUGGUGCCGACCCUGAAUGCUGAACAGGACCUCAUGCAAGGUUUCAGAAAGCCUACUUACAACAUUGACUACGCUGACGAAGGGGAUGAUAUCUCUUACAUUGAGGAUGUAAUUGAAGCUAUUUUUGAAGCAAACAAACGACUGAACGACAUGU